AAUUUCUAUCAUCUAAGUUUUGCUUCACAUUGCAGUCUAUUUUCAAGGGAUUUGGUGUGUUGGAACUGGUUGAGUCCGCCAUCUUGAAGUCUUGGUGAAUCAAGAAACGAGAAAGAACGCUGAAUAAGUCAAGAAAUAAGCCGUAUUAAGUCACGUGGAUGUCUGGAACAAAGAUGGAGGAAUGAAAGCUAUAAGUCAACCCAGAAAGUCAAGAAAUGGCCAAGAGAGAAAAUAGUAUUAGGAAAAAACAAGUAAUUAAACCGGACAAGGUUAAUCAACUAUUUCUUUU